UACGUAGGGGGCAAGCGUUGUCCGGAAUUAUUGGGCGUAAAGAGCGUGUAGGCUGCUCUGCAAGUCGGAUGUGAAAGCCCUGGGCUCAACCUAGGAAGUGCAUUCGAAACUGCAAAGCUGGAGUCCUGGAGAGGAAGGCGGAAUUCUCGGUGUAGAGGUGAAAUUCGUAGAUAUCGAGAGGAACACCGGUGGCGAAGGCGGCCUUCUGGACAGUGACUGACGCUGAGACGCGAAAGCGUGGGGAGCAAACAGG
rnacentral:rRNA from 1 species